AUUUUCCGCAAUUUUCUUGAAUGGAGUGGCGUCUAGCCGGCAAAACGUGGGUGCUUGUUUAAAAAAAAAUAAGAAUUUCGGUGUUUGUUAAAUAAAUUGGUGUAAAAAUAUAAAGUAAGAAACCAUGCCUUACAUUUGCUUACUACAAGAAGGCAAUGAAAGCCUGCCAAAACUCUUGGAGAAAGCGCAACAAAAUGGUUAUGCGGUUAUUGCUGCACAUAUAAACACCGCCGAAAUUCCAUACGAAUACCAGGAGGCGCCCAUGUGUGACAAACUGGCGGAGUUCACAUAUCCAGACUUAGUAUUCCCUUCCGAUCAUUGGAAUGGAAAAGUAAUAAAUGUACUCUCAGACACCAUAGACUGUGAUGCUGAAGAUUUGGUUGUGCGCCGUAAUGCUGAAGAAGUGUUAAAACGUGAUAUUUCAUGGGCGGAACAUUUACAAUAUGGUGGUUAUACAAUGUUACGUUUAAGAUCCGAGCGAAAUCUGAAUAUGGCACGCAUUGCAUCAAGCAAUGUGAAGGGACUGCUGCUCGUACAAGUACCUUUGUAUAAUUCAAAGGAGGCCCAAGCUACCUGGCGACGUGAUAUUGAUGAUGAAGAAUUGGAACGCAUUGGUGAACAAGAUACAUGGCAUUGGUGGAACAACUUUAGAUGGGCGGCCGAUUUUAAUCCUAAAAUUAAGGUUGUGCUCGAACUAAGCGAAAGUGACCGACCAUCCUUAGAGGUAGUGCGACGUUGGUUGGGAGAACCAGUCGAAGCAAUUAUAGUGCCCUCAACCAUGUUCAUUUGUAAUCGGCAAAAUUAUCCCGUACUGCCAAAAGCGUGGCAAGAGAUUUUGUCAUAUUUUAUGCGUGCACGCAUUAAUGUUAUUAUUUCUUCCGAUGUACAUGAUAACAGUCUGAAACUAUACGCGGAGUACAUGCUACGUUUCCAGGAAAUACACGCAGAUACACACGAGUUGCAAGCUUUCGAAGAUGUGCUGGAAGAGCCACUACAACCUUUAUAUGACAAUUUGGACUGCUAUACGUAUGAGGUAUUCGAAAAGGAUCCGGCUAAAUAUAAGCUUUACCAAGACGCUAUCGAACAGGCGCUACUUGACCGCGUUGCCGAUUCGGAAAAGAAACACAAAUUGACAGUUAUUAUGGUGCUCGGAGCAGGCCGUGGUCCACUUGUGCGUUCAGCACUGAAUGCAGCAGAAAAUACAGGGCGCAAAGUGCGCGUCUACAUUAUAGAGAAAAAUCCCAAUGCAAUACGCACACUUACGGCCAUAGCGAAAAAAUUGUGGAGCCAUAAAGAUGUACAUAUCUUCUCCAAGGAUAUGCGUGAAUUCUCGCCACCCGAACCAGCCGAUAUUCUAGUCUCCGAGCUAUUGGGCUCAUUUGGUGAUAAUGAGCUAUCCCCAGAGUGCUUAGAUUGUGCACAAAAGUUAUUAAAAGUCGAUGGCAUAAGCAUUCCCUGUAAAUCUACCUCAUACAUAAACCCGAUAAUGUCUUCGAAACUGCUGAAUGGUGUACGCCAAGUAUUGCGUCACGAGACGCACGGCCGUCAAAAGCAAGCCACCUACCAUACGCAUGCUGAAAGCGGUUUUGUUGUGUUACUUAAAAAUAUUUUCAAUAUCGGUUUGCCACAAGCGUUGUUUGAAUUCGUGCAUCCGAAUCCGCAAAAGCCCAUUGACAAUAGCCGCUUUAAAGCUUUACGCUUCGAAGUGACAAUAGAUUGUGUGCUCACGGGCAUUGCGGGCUACUUCGACACAACGCUCUAUAAGGAUAUUCAGUUGAGCAUUAAUCCGCAAACGCAUACGCCUGGCAUGUUUUCGUGGUUUCCAAUGUACUUUCCCUUCGCGGAACCCAUGGAUGUGAAGAAAGGCCAAACGAUUGAAAUUCAUUUUUGGCGUUGUGUUACAAAACAGAAAAUCUGGUAUGAAUGGUGUUUGGCUUCACCAUUUCGCACCCAUAUACACAAUCACGGCGGCCGUUCGUGUCCCAUCUACUGUACAUAGACAUCUAAGGCGAUGGUUGUUACAUAAGUAAUCUAAGCAAAACAUACUAGCACCUAUAACUUGAAAAAUGUAUAAUUUAACAAAAAAUAUCUAAGUGCAUUGUAGCCUAAAAGGUAACACGUUCAGUUGCUGAAAAUUAACAGUUAACACUCGGUCAGUACAGUAAUGUUUAUAUUUUUUUACAGUUUAUGUUUUUAUACUGCUUGUUUUAUUCUCUUAUUCGAAAACAGUUAAAAAUAUCAUUCACUUGUAUGCUAAUGAAAGUUUUUUUGUUUGAUGAAAUAUUGUAUUUAAACAUGCCCAGCAUAGCAUCCGUUUAUUCUAUUGUUCAAUAUAUUUUUUUUUAUUAAUAAGAAAACUAAUUUUUACUAAUUGAAAAUAUACCAUUCGACAAUGUAAGCACAAAUACACAGCAAUUAUACGUUAAAAUUAAAAAGGAAAUGAGGAAAAAU
rnacentral:misc_RNA from 1 species